UGCAGAUUUAACUGCUUGCGUUAAUGAGGCCACCUGCAAGAGGAGAAACAGAGGGGGAGCUACAUGAGUCAGAGGGAGGCCUCAGAAGCUGGAAGCCCCGGCCAGGUGCCCGAACCUGAAAGUUUUGGGGUUGGGGUUUUCCCCCUCAGUCUCUGCAGAGUCCAGCCUGGACUGGAGGUUAAUUCCUGGCUCAGUCCCUCUACUCUGCUGUAACACUCUUCUUUAGUGAAAUUACACCAGUAGUGAGAAAAAGUUCUGCCAAUAUUUUAACUCAAAUCAUUUCUUGCCACCUCUAUAACCCUUGAUGAUUGCAUUGGGAUCUAUUCAGAAUAACCGUAAUUUAGUAAAUGCUAUGUUUGCCAUUCCUAAGUGUAGCAUUAUACAAACUUAGAUUAGAUAAUUCCCUGCCCAGUUAUGGGUGCCAACAGGCUGGUCAGAAAUUUUCAGAGGUGUUUUUUUUUUUUUUUUUCUUUUCUUUGUUUCUUUUUCACAUGCUGUAACUAAACUUGGCCAUUUUAACUGUAUAAGUAACAAACUGGUUGCUACUUUCAGGACAAAUUUGGUAAAUUCUUAGUUAUUACAUUAGUCUGAGAGAUCUUCUACUGCUGGCCUUUGGGAAAAGCAGACCUGGCAAUGGUGUGAAGCAGAGACCCCGAUAAGACCCUCAGCAAAAGUGCUCCUGAAAAAUAACUUCCAAAGAGAUUUCACAUGGGAGAUGCCACCAGGAGGUGGCUGAGGGGUGUUGCAGAGGUCAGCCUUAGAACUGAGGCUUGUUCCUUUCCUGAGCUCUCUUCUGAAAGAGACACAGCAGGAGUGGGGAAGGUGAGCCUCAGCAGCUUUAAAUGAGCUCUGUGGCACACCUGUGAGACUUCACCUUCAGCAGGUCCCAGCACAGGUGCUGCAAGAGGCGGUGUCCCAGCAUCACCAAGAGGGAAUGGAGGAGCUGUGGAUGUUUUUGUCCUCAACACAUGGGAUUGCCCUGGUACUUUCCUCCUUUGAUAAAAGCAGGUGUGAUACUGCUCCUCACGGGGCUGUUUGUUGAAGAAAAGAAAUUCCAGCUGUGUAUCUUGAAAUGCACUACGUUCACGGAGAUACUGGAGAACGUAUCCUUCACCUUUCAGUGA
rnacentral:lncRNA from 1 species